rnacentral:rRNA from 1 species
GGGGAAUAUUGCACAAUGGGCGAAAGCCUGAUGCAGCAACGCCGCGUGAGUGAAGAAGGUUUUCGGAUCGUAAAGCUCUGUUGCCAGGGAAGAACGUCUUCUGGAGUAACUGCCAGGAGAGUGACGGUACCUGAGAAGAAAGCCCCGGCUAACUACGUGCCAGCAGCCGCGGUAAUACGUAGGGGGCAAGCGUUGUCCGGAAUUAUUGGGCGUAAAGCGCGCGCAGGCGGCUGUUUAAGUCUGGUGGUUAAUCCUGGGGCUCAACCCCGGGUCGCACUGGAAACUGGACGGCUUGAGUGCAUAAGAGGAGAGUGGAAUUCCACGUGUAGCGGUGAAAUGCGUAGAGAUGUGGAGGAACACCAGUGGCGAAGGCGACUCUCUGGGCUGUAACUGACGCUGAGGCGCGAAAGCGUGGGGAGCAAAC